rnacentral:misc_RNA from 1 species
UUUCCGUAGGUGAACCUGCGGAAGGAUCAUUAUCGUAAAACCGAGGUGCGAGGGCUGUCGCUGACCUUUUCGGUCGUGCACGCCCGAGCGCUCUCACACAAUCCACCUCACCCCUUGUGCACCACCGCGUGGGUCCCUUUCUGGCUCGUCCGGAGGGGGGCUCGCGUUUUCACACAAACUUGAAGUAGUGUAGAAUGUCCUUUUUUUGCGAUAACACGCAAUCAAUACAACUUUCAACAACGGAUCUCUUGGCUCUC